GACGUAGGGUGCCCGCGUUGUUCGGAAUUACUGGGUGUAAAGGGUUCGUAGGCGGUGCGGCAAGUUGGGAGUGAAAUCUCUGGGCUUAACCCAGAGGCUGCUUCCAAAACUGCUGUGCUUGAGUGUGGGAGAGGCGCGUGGAAUUGCAGGUGUAGCGGUGAAAUGCGUAGAUAUCUGCAGGAACACCCGUGGCGAAAGCGGCGCGCUGGACCACUACUGACGCUGAGGAACGAAAGCGUGGGGAGCAAACAGG
rnacentral:rRNA from 1 species